rnacentral:rRNA from 1 species
UACGUAGGCAGCAAGCGUUGUUCGGAGUUACUGGGCGUAAAGGGUGUGUAGGCGGUUCUUUAAGUUUGGUGUGAAAUCUCCCGGCUUAACCGGGAGGGUGCGCCGAAUACUGAGGGACUAGAGUACGGGAGAGGAAAGUGGAAUUCCUGGUGUAGCGGUGAAAUGCGUAGAUAUCAGGAGGAACACCGGUGGUGUAGACGGCUUUCUGGACCGACACUGACGCUGAGGCGCGAAAGCUAGGGGAGCAAACGGG